CGCGCCGCAUUAGCUAGUUGGUAAGGUAACGGCUUACCAAGGCAACGAUGCGUAGCCGACCUGAGAGGGUGAUCGGCCACACUGGAACUGAGACACGGUCCAGACUCCUACGGGAGGCAGCAGUAGGGAAUCUUCCGCAAUGGGCGAAAGCCUGACGGAGCAACGCCGCGUGAGUGAUGAAGGUCUUCGGAUCGUAAAGCUC
rnacentral:rRNA from 1 species